rnacentral:rRNA from 1 species
UUCUAGAGAUAGAAGGUUACUUCGGUACAUCGGUGACAGGUGGUGCAUGGUUGUCGUCAGCUCGUGUCGUGAGAUGUUGGGUUAAGUCCCGCAACGAGCGCAACCCCUAUUGUUAGUUGCCAUCAUUCAGUUGGGCACUCUAGCGAGACUGCCGGUAAUAAACCGGAGGAAGUGGGAUGACGUCAAAUCAUCAUGCCCCUUAUGACCUGGGCUACACACGUGCUACAAUGGUUGGUACAACGAGUUGCGAGUCGGUGACGGCGAGCUAAUCUCUUAAAGCCAAUCUCAGUUCGGAUUGUAGGCUGCAACUCGCCUACAUGAAGUCGGAAUCGCUAGUAAUCGCGGAUCAGCACGCCGCGGUCGAAUACGUUCCCGGGCCUU